rnacentral:snRNA from 1 species
GUGUUAAUUCGGUAGCACAUAUACUAAAAUUGGAAUGAUACAGAGAAGAUUAGCAUGGCAUCUGCGCAAGGAUGACACACAAAUUCAUAGGUGUUGAUGGCUCGGAUCUUGU